GGCAUGGUGGCUUAGUGGUUAGCACUGUGGCCUUGCACCUAAAGGCCAUAUUGUGGGUUUGGGGGUUCAAAUCCCUCCUGCGUAU